rnacentral:piRNA from 1 species
UGAAAGGAUGAAACGCAACAUUAUACCCUAAA